rnacentral:rRNA from 1 species
AUUGAACGCUGGCGGCAGGCCUAACACAUGCAAGUCGAACGGAUGGCGGAGUGGAGAGGAAUGUCUGGGAAACUGCCUGAUGUACGGGGAUAACUACUGUAAACGGUAGCUAAUACCGCAUACCAUCGGAUGUGCCCAGAUGGGAUUAGCUAGUGGGUGGGGUAAAGGCUCACCUAGGCGACGAUCCCUAGCGGGUCUGAGAGGAUGAACAGCCACACUGGAACUGAGACACGGUCCAGACUCCUACGGGAGGCAGCAGUGGGGAAUAUUGCACAAUGGGCGAAAGCCUGAUGCAGCCAUGCCGCGUGUAUGAAGAAGGCCUUCGGGUUGUAAAGUACUUUCAGCGGGGAGGCGUUACCCGCAGAAGAAGCACCGGCUAACUCCGUGCCAGCAGCCGCGGUAAUAC